GACGAACGCUGGCGGCGUGCCUAAUACAUGCAAGUUGAGCGAUGAAGAUUGGUGCUUGCACCAAUUUGCAGAGCAGCGAACGGGUGAGUAACGCGUGGGGAAUCUGCCCUUGAGCGGGGGACAACAUUUGGAAACGAAUGCUAAUACCGCAUAACAACUUUAAACAUAAGUUUUAAGUUUGAAAGAUGCAAUUGCAUCACUCAAAGAUGAUCCCGCGUUGUAUUAGCUAGUUGGUGAGGUAAAGGCUCACCAAGGCGAUGAUACAUAGCCGACCUGAGAGGGUGAUCGGCCACAUUGGGACUGAGACACGGCCCAAACUCCUACGGGAGGCAGCAGUAGGGAAUCUUCGGCAAUGGACGAAAGUCUGACCGAGCAACGCCGCGUGAGUGAAGAAGGGUUUCGGAUCGUAAAACUCUGUUGGUAGAGAAGAACGUUGGUGAGAGUGGAAAGCUCAUCAAGUGACGGUAACUACCCAGAAAGGGACGGCUAACUACGUG
rnacentral:rRNA from 1 species